CGUGGGCGGGAGCGUCUCGAGAGAUGGAGGCUCGUGCAGCUCGCGCCGGGACAGACGGCGACGGACCGGCAGCCUCAGCCAAAUCAGCAGAGGACAGCAGGAAUACAUCUGAAGUUGACAGCUGUACUUGCAGCUUAAAGUAUAGCAACGUUUAGCUGAAAAGAACUUAGUCAUCAUGGAGCUGGCAGUUCAGCACAAUUGCUGUAACAAGCAGACUAAAGAAGAUGGAAGAGAAUAAGCAGCUUUUUUUUUUUUCACCCAAGAAUCAGUCAAACAGCUACAGAGUUCUACAAGGUAUGGAAAAAAAAAAAAAAUAAUAAUCCCUUGCUUAUAAACAAUUAUCUCUGCUAAGACAAAACUAGUCAAAGAAAUCUUGGAGACCAGGAAAGGAAGAAGAAAAGAAAACGAGAUCAAGCAUGGUCUGAGAAAGUAGUAGAGAGGAAAACUAGUAGCUAGUAACUAGAAACUACUAAAGAGGGACCCAAACCCA
rnacentral:lncRNA from 1 species